ACCCUUGAUAAGUUAUGUGAUUUUGUUUCUACCAGGUUAUAUACGACCAUGAGAAUCAUGUCUGUUGGGGCUUCAAAAACUAAAUCAACCCAAAUAUAUAACAAAAGAAGCAUGAGAGAAGUGUGAAAAUCAAGAAUGGAGUUUUCAUUUUCUGAAUUCAAGAUUCCUCUAUUUUCAGAAGAUCAAAUGAGGAACUGUCACCUUGCAGGGAACAGCUGUUUUCUGUGGCAGAUGGGAAGAAGGGAUGUGGCCAAUGACAAUUAUCCCUUAAAGCUGCCCCGGAAUUGACACGUCUCUUUGCUCCUACCUCUUUGAAUGAACUAGUCUCAUGCCCAUGCUGACUCCAAGGGGCCAAGAGAUGCAAUCCAACCAUCUGACUGGGACGAACCAGGUACAGUUGAUUCUCAUUAUCCACCAUUAAGUUCUGUUCAGUUGCUGCCAACACUAAAUUGGUGCGUAAUAAACCGUGUUCCUAGGGGAU
rnacentral:lncRNA from 1 species